GAGAUUUUAACCUCCCAUGGAAAGCUUUUCCUGUAAACAGUAAAAUGGAAAGAACAAAAGAAAACAAAAUUAUUGAAAAGUUACUAAGCUUUUUGGAUCUCCACAGUUAAGUGUGUCUCCAGGAAGCAGCCUAUGGAAGAGAAGCAGAAUAUUUCACAACCAGUUAUGGGACAGUAUCAAGUUUCCUUACAAGGUCAAGUCUCAGCCUCCCUUGUACCAGCACCUCAGGAUGGGGGUACAUGCAACAAGAAUUUCAGCGACUUCUGUAACAUCUUGCACAU